AAGAACUCUACGCGGUGUGAGUUGGCUGUAAGGAGCUCUCUAGCAUUCAUAAAGUCCUUUUGAUGUAUCUGCAUGUAUUCAUCCUUAAACAUUCCGCUGGACAUCUCUUUCCCACAAUUGAAACUGAAGAGACAUCCGGAAAGACACAAUCGGGGAGGACCUGUCAGAACCUGGGUAGGAGUCUCCAUGGCCUGGUUCCUUCCUAAGAAGAUCAGAAAUUGGAUUUUAUCAUCCCAUUCGCUGAGGAUAAGACUUGAGGGAGCCUGUUCCAAGGAUGCUGUUGGAAAGUACCUGCCAGCACCAUGAAGAUGGCUA
rnacentral:lncRNA from 1 species